UGCUAUGAAUCCACUCGUACAACCCAUCAACUUUACAAUGCCAAUACCACGAUAAGCACUUUGUACCUAUUAAAGAUCAAGGAGAAAAAUCAAUUCACCAUUUAGACAUUAAUACCAAGAAAUGGAUGAGCAAGUUAAUUGGACACUAUAUUUCUCUAUUUGUCAUGGAAUUCAUAUACUUAAUGCAAGAUGAUAUUACUAAAGCAUUACCUAGUUGCCAUAGUUUGAGAAAUCUUCUAUCUUCAAACUGUGCACAUCAAAAAUCCUAAUCAUAGCACAAAUCUAUAAUUAGCUCCGUACACACAAAGACAUCUCUGUAUAGGUAAACAUUCUCUUACCAUACGUCUACAAUCACAAGCAUUCUCUUAUCCUAAUGUGACACGACCCACCCCGAAUUUCACCCUGAAACCCAGAGUAAGUCGUGCGGGGACCACCUCCAAGGAAAAUUUACUGAAAAGAUUAAGAAAAUCUCCCUUGCAGAUGGACAACCCUAACUCGAAAAUUUCAUAUUACACUCUUAAUUUAACGCUUCUGAAUAUCACAUAAUAUACAAAAUUCUAAAGUAUUCAGAGCUACUAAACACAAGUAGGUUGAACAGGUAACCUACUGAUGAAAACUGGCCGAAAAGCGGGUGACUAUGCCUCGUCUCCUACUAGAUCCAACCCGAACUCUGCAGACUGGGAAAUUUAAAACGAAGGGCCCAGGGGAAAACAUUUAAUAACGUUAGAGUGAGUGGACAAAAAUAAAUUAAUAAUUAAAAUAUUUAUGUUUCCCCAAAUUAAUUUCUAAGGAAAAAUCGAAUGCAUGCCGCAAGCGAUAAAACCUUUAUCCCAUAAAAUAUCGAGCCUCUCAGAUUCUAUAAUAUAUGUAUGUAUUUACACUCGUCCAUACUCCCUAUAUAAAUUCAUGGGUCUAUAUAGGGCUACUACGCUCGCGUCCAACGCUCACGUCACGCCUUAAUGCGGUGCUACACUACGCCAUCAAGGUGGACAGACGGGUGUAUAAAUAUGUGCCCAUACCCCCUAUAUGAAUUAAACACUCANNNNNNNNNNNNNNNNNNNNNNNNNNNNNNNNNNNNNNNNNNNNNNNNNNNNNNNNNNNNNNNNNNNNNNNNNNNNNNNNNNNNNNNNNNNNNNNNNNNNUAAUAUUACUUUCGUAUUUUGGUUUUAUUUAUCAACAUGGUUUUCGGAUUUCUUUGUGAUCUUUGAUUGUUCUAUGUUUUGAUUUGUAACUUCUUGAAUAUAUGAUGAUUUCGUGAUUUAGGUUUUAGGGCAGUAGCAUGUUCUUAUGUGUUUUUGAUUUCUAAUUGAUUAAUUAUCAUGAAUUCGUGCAUCUAAAUCAAUCCUUGAGGCUGCCUUGGCCAUGGUUGUCCUUAAGGUGCGGUUUCAUCUACCAUAAUAAUUUUGGAUCGAUUCAUACGCAAAGUUGUCUUGGUCUCUGUUAUUAACUUAGGGCGGAUAUAAUUCUGAUAAUUUGCAUGCUAAUAGGAUGAGUGACGCCAGGCCUUAGAUCAUGUUUCCGAUGGACUCGUGUGCUAAAGUGUUUUCUUGUUUAAUCUCUACGCAACGUGUCUUUAAAUGAGUUAGCAUUCAUGUUUAGGAUCACGCGCAAAGAUGGUUCUAAAUACUUGAGGAGUCUUAACAAUUAGAUAACCGCAAAGGCUCUAAUUAGAAUCGGAAUUGGUUAGAGUCUAGGAUAAUUUGAACGUUGCUGCCCGGCCUUGCAUGAAGUUGUUAUGUGUUCUUGAUGGUUUUUCGUGUUAUGUGUUGCAUGAGUAUGUUGAUCACUUGUAUAUAAUAAUCUUAGGUUUAAUUUUCAGUAGAUUAUUUGUUAGAAUUAAUCAAUCUCAAACCCCCCAAUAUUUCGAUGUAUAUAUGUGAAUACUUGUUUAUAAGUUGUUUGAUUUCUCUUCUUUCGAUCGCCCUUUGGUUUCCCCGGCUAGAACGAUCCCUACUUGUCCAUAUUACUACGAUUGCAGGGUAAUUAAAUUGAAGUUGUUUGACCCCGGUUACGCGACACGUCAAGUUUCGGCUAUGUAAUUGCAAGGGUAGAGAUGAUGUUUUUCUGUCCUUGAAGUCGUGCUUUAUAUAGAGGAAAAACCCUAGAGAAGUCGGCCACAAAGCCUAAACCAAGUUGGUUUAGGAUUCCUAGUUCUUCUCAAUUUCGGCAGAUUGAACUUCGUCUGAUGAUUACGUCAUAACUCCCUCUAGAAAAUAGAUAUUGAGGUGUUUCUAAUUGAUUUGGAAACUAGACUCCCGUAGCUCUCUAUCCAUAUCUAGCACGUUUUCUGAUUCAUUGUGAGCUGUCCUGGAGUGUCCGUUGAAGUUAAGAGACGUGCACAGGAAUUUUCCCGAAAUUCAUCAGGGUUUUCAAGACUUGGAUAUUCCUUGAUAUUCUGCCGAAUUUAGAUCUUCUUCUCCAUAUUGGACUUGGUUUGGACCUCUCCUUUCAUGGACUAGGCUUCGUGGAUCGACUGCUUUGCUUCCCUAGGUUCAUCAGGAACACUUCUCUCGGCAGGUAGUAGGUUACUCUGUUCAUGACUUUUCUACAUGUCACCUAAGUAUCAGAGAAAUUAAAUCAAUUUGUGACAAUGUAAAAGCUUUACAGAAUCAUAAGAACAUCUCUAAGGCUCCACAAAUCGGCUUUUGACAAUUUUCUACACCGUUCCUCUAUGUUUAACACGUUUUACGCACAACUCUACCAAAAACUUUCGACUCUACAUUAUGACUCUAUUCUACGACAAUACGAGAUAAUCAAAGUACAAAUGGAGGUAAUAACAUAUUAAGAAUGUCGCAUUUUAUGCUCCUAUCACUUAGCCUUUUAAAACAUUGGCCUUGAUUCAAAUUAAUAUUUUAAACAGGAUGAGCGGUAAUAUUAGAUCGACGAAGGGUUCGAAGGGCCAAAGGUCUGAAUCGUCUGAGGGAACCUCUAGCAACCCUCAAACGUCGUUUUAGGUCCCCAUGAUAGCCAGACGUGCGACCCUUCUACAAACGGCGCAGAGGCAGCCGGAGGUGCCUCUUUCAUCGAAGCAGCGGGGCGUCCCUCAUUCCUCGAGGCAGUUGUGGCCUCAGACCCAGACAGAGGUGUCUGCACCCCGUAUGCCUGAAAGACACCAGGUGCCCACUCCAGGUCUUACUUCUUCGGAUAGUGGGUCAUCUGGGGUACAGAUGCCGCCACCUCAUCUGUUCCUUCCGUGGAUGAUACCGGCCUUACCUGCAGUUGAUGGCUCAGGGAUGCCGAUAUAUCCACUACCCCCGCCAGUGGCUCCAUCAGCGGCAUACCGGUUCGUGCCUUUUGAUACGCCUCUUAUUUCCGCAAGGGUAUCAUCAUCGGUGACAGAGACGAAAUCCGUCACGUCCGUCGCAUCGCCCUCAGGUAAUGAAAGAUGAAUGAUUUGUUUUCUUAUAAUUCUCUGAUUUUAAUAAUCAAUUUGGUUUAUCAUGUGAUAGACACCGUCGGAGCGAAGCCGGCAAAGAAGAAGAGAGGCCCCGUCACAGGGAAGACUCUCGAGAAGAUCAUCGGUACCUCAGGGAGGAUCGUCAUCCGUACUGACGGGGAUGGCGACAUAGUAUCGGGCGGGAAGUAGAGGACGUACUCCAGCCGCGUGGGAGCGCUCAUUAAGGAUAGAGUCCUUAUGUUGUGGUCAGACUGGGGCGAGGUCCCACAGGAGGUUAAGGACAUGGUCCACAACGCGAUGUCGGUAAGUUUACAAAAUGCCUCAAUAAUAUUAUGUAUUACAUUGUUGAUUUCUCAAAAAACUAAACUAAUAAAUGGUUAAAUGCAUGUGUGGUUUGAGGUUCCCGAGCACUUAAAGAGCAGUUGGGCGGACGUUGUGCAUGGGGGAAGGUACGUUGGGAAGUUAAUGAAAAAACAAAAUUGUAUGUGAUAUUAAUAAUAUUUCUAAUAUUUUUGUUGUAUCUAUAGGUACAAGGAGUGGAAGAACGAGUUGCGGACCCACUGGACUACGCACUGGAACUCACGUUUUGGUACCCCUGUUGAGUUGUACAGGGAGUACGAGUGGCAUUGGCUUUUGACAUCAGAAUUCAACAACCCUCGUAAACAGGUAUUUAAAAAAAUUAAUUAGUUAAUUUGUCAUUAAGUACGUGCAUUUUUAAAUAUUUUACUAAUAGUUUAUUUUUUUCUUUGUAAGGCCGUUUCCCGGGCGAACGCUCAAAACUAGCAACGCAACACAAGGAACCAUCGUGCCGGUUCUAGACCAUUCGCUGUCUUCAUGGACGAGGCGGCCAGGGAACAUCCAGAAGUCAACCAGUACGUCAAUACGUACGAGAAGGCAUAUCCUGACGCCCAGGAGGAUAUUGUAAGUCAUCUUAUGUUUUUAAAUUUUUUAUUUUAUUUAUAUAUAUGUCAAAAUGUUAAUUAAUAAUUUUUUCCUAUUCAAUUAGGCGAAGGUGAGGGAGGCUAGUGACGAGGUGAUGAGUGCUAUAGUGAGGGAGACAUGGCCGGACACUCAGGAGAAAGAGAUGUCUGAAGCCAUGUCCCAGAUCGACACUUCGGAUCCGACGGUUGGGGCGAGAAUCAUGGGCACAGCCUUCCCACUGCGAGCAAACAACUUCUACUGCCAGGGUCUAGGAAAGAAGGGCGAGGGGUCCUUGAAUACCACUCCAGGAUUUCAACGAAAGGCAGCCUCGACCAGCAGCAGGACCACGACCACGACCACCAGGACGACUCAGCUAGAGUCGGAAGUUCAGAGACUACGGGAACAGCAAGCUGCUCAGGCUGCCUAUAAUGCCUCGCAGGUAGCCUAUAAUGCCGCGCAGGCAGCCUAUGUUGCCGAGAUACAUGCCAUCCAGCAGGCCCAGCAGCAGCAGAUGUUCCAGUACAUGCAGGACUUUACAGCUGCCCAGCUUCAGGGACUUUCGGCUCCACCCAUGCCUACGGCUAUACCGCUACCCCAAUCGCCGUAACCUCCGCAUCAACCUCCACAGCAGCCCCCAGAAGCAGAUAUUAAUUUAGACGAUCUAAAUUUUGUGUAGUUGAUGAAUUAUAGUUUUAUGUGCUUAUUGUUGUUGUUAGUUAUAUGGAAUUGUUUUGGUGUAUUUUGCAGCUUGCUUGGAAUGGUAAUUCAAAAAUUUUGGGUUUUUUUUUUUACUGGAAUGGACUUAUAGCCGACGAAAUACGCAAUAAUUCGUCGGCUAUAGUAUUUUAAAUUUUUUUAAAAUAAGGUUUAGCCAACGAAUUAUGGCAUGUUUCGUCGGCUAAACCCUUGUAAAGCCGACGAAAACAGACUAUAUUUCGUCGGUUUUAGUUAUUUUUUAAUUUUUAAUUACACACUUUAGCCAACGAAUAUCUUAAAUGUUUCGUCGGCUAAAGUCUGAGAAAAAACCGACGACAUGUUUUUCAUCGGCUAAACUCACCCACCCCGAAUUUCACCCUGAAACUCGAAGUGAAUCCUGCGGGGACCACCUCGAAGGAAAAUUUACCGAAAAUUCGGCAUAACCUCCCUUGAAAAUGGACAACCCUUCCUAAAAAAAAACACCUGCAACACUUCUAAAAGUUCCAACUCCAACCUUAACUCCUGGAGCCUUCGUGCUCCCAACAAAUCACAACAUCUCCCAAUAUAGAUUCACUAAUCUAACAAAUGAUCCUAUAACCAACAACCACAUAUUCAGAGCAACUCUACUUGAGAGGAGAAAAACUAGAAAUAAAUAGAAAUGAGCGGAAGCUAUACUAUUGACUAUGCCUCUUCACUAGGUACGCUCGGCCUCACUAUGCUAACCUGCAACUGGGCAUUUAUAAAACGAAGAGCCCAGGGGAAAACAUUUGAAACCGUUAGAGUGAGUGGACAAAAACAUAAAUUUAAUGAAAAUAUUUAUGCUUUCCCAAUUUACAUUUCUAUAGAAAAUAUGCUGCAUGCGACAGCUCAAAAAUGCUCAACACAAAAACUGGCAAUUUCAUGACUAGCUUCGGCCAGUCUCCAAAGCUCAAUAAAAUACAGCCUCUCAGGCUAAAAUAAAAUAUGUAUGUAUUACACUCGUCAUAUCCCUUAUAUGAAUUUUCUUGAAACAACAAAGACAAAUAGAAAAUUCACACAAGGNNNNNNNNNNNNNNNNNNNNUAACGCUCACGUCGCACCAUAAUAGAAUUUUUACCUCAGUAUGGUGGAAAAGCACGUACAGCUAGCUAGCAUUCCCUCAUAUACAUAUUAUUCUCAUAAUCAUCCAAAUAUGGAUAUAUAUACAUACUCACCGAAAUUCUCAAUUACGGUUAUUCUCCAACAAUAAUGAAAAUUGCCAAUUAUCAUAAAAAGCAAUACGCACACGACUCUACCGAAAAUCUCAUUUUCGGUAACUUUCCAAAUAACACGAUAGCUAUUAAAAAUGAGAACAUUUACUUCUGAAAAUGACUUCGCGAAAAAUAGACAAAUCCACAAAUUGAUAUUCAAUAAAAUCAAUCAUUUAAUGUAGAAUCACCGCAUGCAUAUAUUUUAAAACAAAAGUCCACUCACAACUUUAGGCCUAAGCCUGACGUAGAUCCAAGGCCUCUUCCACUCGAGCCUCCUCACGUCCUGAUCCAAACAUAUAAUUAAUUUCCCAACUAAAAAUCCAAUAAUUAAACAAAAUGGGCAAAAGUUAAACGUGAGCCUCCCACACACUCAUCAUUGCCCAACUUCGUCCUUCAUAACCCCAAAAUGGCCCAAAUUUCAAUGAACACACCGACAGCCUUAAUUCAACCUUCCACAGAUUAAUGGCUUAAAUCCUUCGGCCGGAAUCUACAUUAAAUAACCGCUAAAAAUACCAAACUUCGGAAAUUCACAAACUUAUCCAAAACACAUCCAAAAAUUCCAUAAUUCACUUCAAUAAACUCCCCUUAAUAUUCCAAAUUUAAAAACAUUAAAAUCUCCCAACCGGCGGCGGUGGCGGCGCCAGCUCCGCCGGCAGUGGCGGCCGAAGGCCGAUUCCGGCGACCUCCAAUGCCUACCAAAUUUUAACAGCAGUUUCAUCUCAACAUCCUAAACAACUUUCAUAACUAUCACUAAGUCCAAUUUCAAGCCUAAAUAGGGUAAUCGAAUCAAAACAUCCAAAAAUCACCCAAUUCAAACCCUAGCCCGAAAAUCCUCCUACACACUUCGAAUUGGAUCAUUACCUUCUAAGAAAAUCCUACACACGGAGAGCACUUCCAAAUGGAACUGAAAUCAUCAGAAAUGGUGGCCGGAAGAGCGAGUUCCGGCGUCGGGACUCCACCACGCAGCCGAAGCUUCCGGGCGAGCUCUCUCCUUCACGACGGCGCUAGGGCAGCUCUCACCGGUCCAAGAAGAAGGCUGGGUCGACGGCCGACCGUUUGGGACCGGUGCGCCGGUCUAUGGUGGCCGGACGGCGGCGGACGGCCGAGAAGAAUUCCGGCAGCGAGAGAGAGUCGGGGAAGAGGAGAGAAGAGAAAGAGAAGGAAAAAGAGAGGGAGGGAAUUGGGCCUCCCAACCGGUCCAACCCAUUAUAACCACACCAACUCCACAAAUAAAACACCCCGAAAAAAUACCCCAAUAAAAAUUACCUUUUACUAGCUAAAAUUUACCAUUUUUACUGUCGUCAAAUUUUUCUCCUACGAAUAAUUCUCCGAAAAUAUCAUCACUCAAAACCCCUCUAGGGACCAAUUAAACCAUAACUCAUUGACGGAGACGGUAAAAUUCUUAUUAAUAUCAAGCUAGUAAAUAAGGUAAAAAUUUAAGGGUUGGGAUGUGACAAUUCUUCCCUCCUUAUAAAAAUUUCGUCCUCGAAAUUUACAUACCUGACAAAACAAAGAGAUAAGGAUACUGCUACCUUAUUCGAUCCUCUGAUUCCCAAGUAGCUUCCUCAUCAAAGGCCAAAACUUUUUCCAAUGAAUCGACUGCUCUCGCAACACAUGAGAGAGAUCGGCAAUAAAUUUGCGAAGCAUGGAUACAUGAAAUCCAUUAUGUAUCUUGGAUAACUCCGGGGGCAAAACUAACCGAUACGCAAGAGAGCCAACUUGAUCUAAAAAAACCCAUAAGGACCUAUAAAUCUCGGACCAAGCUUUUCACGUUACUAAAACGUACCACCCCUUUCCAAGGAGGCAAGUUCGAAAACACCCAAACACUCACUUGAAACUCAUGGUCCUUCCUGCGGACAUCUUAUUAACUCUUCUGGCUACUAAGAGCUGCUUUGAGUCUAUCUCUGACUCCUUUAACCUUUUCAUUUUUCAAAGACUAUAAAUCCUUCGUUGAACUACCACUAACGUUUGCACGUAAGUGAAUUCAGUGAUACCUGCUCUAGAGUACAAGUACUCGUAGGUAUGCACACUCUUUCCUGAGCAAUGGAAAUAGCUAACCCAAAUAAAACACAUGAAUUUGCUAUCACCAUCGGGCUAAAAUCUCCUAACGUCACGCAACAACGUCGUCAUUACGCUGCUCACAGCUCAUCACUGAAGCCCACUUGCUAGGAAACUAAAGUUCACACAUUCCCACAUGCUCAUAGGGGUCAAAAUUAAAACCCGCUAAUUGAACAGAUUUUUAAGGAUGCACACACUGCAGAACUGCAACAAUCAUUUCUAAUGUCGAGACAUUUCGCAGAGUCUUUCGCGGAGUCAAAGCUCUCGCAAGUCCACAAAACAACCUUGCUCUGCCUAAGAGACCAGUCCACCAACAUAUGAUAACCUUGAUUCUCGAAAUAACAUUAUGAAAAGAUCAAUACCACGUCACUUAGGUCUCUUCGCCAAAACUAUUACAUUACCUUUUUUUUUUUUUUUUUAGCACCACAAACUAACAGCUUAUGGGAAUUCCAACUCUCUCAUGAUUCUGCUAUCUCCACUAAUCUCUUUAUUUCAAACCAGAAGAUAACCUUAAGCAUGAUUAUCAUGUGGAGACUGGAACUUCCUCCUUGCUCGCCAUAAACAAAACUGACUAAUAAUGCCCACGAAAAAUUGGCACAAUCAAUUCAUGAUGCCAAACUUGACGUUGAAAUCCACAAAAAUAGAGCCCCUUCCUUAAGCAUUGAAAAAAUUUACAUCUCCAGCCAUGCUACUUAUUUGGGUGCAAUCGCGACCCCAAGAGCAAUAAUUAAAAGCACAUGGCUCACUCUAGCCAUUCCAUAAAAAUGAUUCUAAAUACCAAAACCAUUGAACUCGACAAACACACUUCUUUUCUACCUCUAAUAAUACUAAAUCUGAUAACAGAAAACGUUCUGAAAAUCAGAUAUGCUCAAAUCUCCUACGCCUCCUAGAGCCACGGCUUCCCACCAAAAAGAUUCUUCGAUACUCGAGCUUGCAAUAGCAUGCAACUAACAAAAGCAAAGAUAAAUUUUUAUACAAGACCCACUACUACACCUUGUGGUACACCAACCAACAAAAACCAUGAAUUCAAGCAAGAAUCAAAACUCAUGGCUUAACUCAGCUCAAGUUCCAGAAGAAAUGACUUAAAGCACACGAAAGGCAAGUCCUCUAACUUCGAGCUCAACAGCUUCACAAAUCUCUGAUAUCCGCCAGAACCCGCUUCGAAAUCGUACUAGAAACCUCCACUAAUCAUCCUAACACUAACGGAUGAACGCACAACCAAAUAACGAAGACCUCCCAAAUCAAACUUGGAUCAAUGAGUGGUCCCACCACAAUACGAUCCCGAGAAGAGACGCUGAUCUACCUAUCAAAAUCUACUACUCUUAAUAUUAAAACUCUUAAUAAACCUUAACUCUAGACGCUUCUUGAGUCAACAGGGGAAAACCUUCUCCCAUAAAGCUACAACAUAGAAAAAUACCUACAACGACACAAACCAUCUAAUCAACAUCACCACACGACUCUUAGACUACCACAUAGGACUUAUGGCUCCAAGAUUCAUUGCUUAAUUAACUCCAGCUCACUUGGGAUCAUGACUAGAUUUAUCCAGGAUCCAUGCCUACGACACAACAACCAAUUUAUCAUAAAUUCGACAACUAACUAGAAUCUCUAACCCUCAAAACAUAGAGUUUGAAUUCGCACUUCAUAACUUCAAGCUCUGAGGAUGCAACCCAAAAACUACAGUAGGAAUAAUUUAAAUAUUCCCACACACACCACAACCAAAACUUUUCUGCAUCUCACCAAAUUAUAAAUAAAGCGAGAGAACAUAUUCUCCCAUUGAGGUGUCGUAGCUAGCCACCAAAUGCUAACGAAAAGAUGUUAGCAAACAACUCCGAUCACGAAGUCGAGACUUAAAUCAACCACCCGGAAUGACACUGCUUAAAAAAAAUUACUUUGGGCACCCACGCACUCUUCCUCCUUGAUCUAAUGGGUUUUAUUGACACGACCCACCCCAAAUUUCACCUUGAAACCCAGAGUAAGUUGUGCGGGGACCACCUCCAAGGAAAAUUUACCGAAAAAUCGGCAUAACCUCCCUUGAAAAUGGACAACCCUUCUUAAUAAUACCUGCAAACACUUCUGAAAAUUUAAAUCCAACCUUAAACUUCUGGCGCCUCCGUGCUCCCCAAAUCACAACACCACCCAAAUUAUUUACUAAUCUAAAUAAAUCUCAUAUCCAACCAUUUAUAGGUUCAGAGCAACUCUACCAGGAAGAAAGGAAACAUAAUAAAUUAACAAGCGGAAGCUAUAUGAUGACUAUGCCUCAUCCCCAUGUACGCCCAACCUCAACUAUGCAAUCCUGCAAACUGGGCAUUUUUAAAAUGAAGAGCCCAGGGGAAAACAUUUGAAACCGUUAGAGUGAGUGGACAAAAAUAAAUUAACGAAUAAAAUAUUUAUGUUUCCCCAAAUCAAUUUCCAAGGAAAAUCGAAUGCAUGCUGCAAGCGAUAAAACUUUUAUCUCAUAAAUGUCGAGCCUCUCAGGCUCUAUAAUAUAUGUAUGUAUUUACACACGUCCAUACUUCCUAUAUAAAUUCAUGGGUCUAUAUAGGGCUACUACGCUCGCGUCCAACGCUCACGUCACGCCUUAAUGCGGUGCUACACUACGUCAUAAAGGUAGACAGACGGGUGUAUAAAUAUGUGUCCAUACCCCCUAUAUGAAUUAAACACUCAUAUAGGGCUACUACGCUCGCGUCAAACGCUCACGUCACACCAUAAUGCGGCUAUAUGCUACGCCAUUAAGGUGGACAGACACAUAUGGCUAGCUAGCAUUUUAUAUACAUACUCUCUCUCAUAAAUACAUAUUUAUAUCCACCGAAAAUCCUAUUUUCGGUAACUCUCCAAGAGAAAUAAGAUUGUCAAAAAUUAAAAUGACGUCAAAAUGCUCCAUGACAUUAAUUGUUCAUUCAUGAACCAUAGCAUGCAUAUUAUUUAAAACAAAAGUCCACUCACAACUCUAGGCAUAAGCCCGACGAAAUCCAAAUCGCCACUCCAGAGAGGUUUCCUCAAACCCUGGCAUAAAUAUAAAAUUAAUUUCCCAACUAAAACUCCAAUAUUUAAACAAAAUAGCCAAAAUUAACCGAGAGCGAUAACUACGCUCAUCAUUGCCUAACUUCGAUAUUCUUAAAUCGAAACGAUCCGAACUUAAAUAUCAUACUCGGCAGCCGUAAUUACAACCUCCCCAAAAUACGACUUAAAUCGUACGGCCGGAUUCUACAUUAAUUAACCGCCAAAAAUACCACACUUCAGAAAUUCAUAAACGUAUCCAAAACUCAUCCAAAAAUUCCAUAACUCACUUCAACAAACUCCCCUUAAUAUUCUAAAUUUAAAACCCUAAAAAACUUCCAAACAGUGGCGGCACCGGCGGCGGCUCCUCCGGCAACGGCGGCCGGAGGCCGAUUCCGGCGACCUCCAAUGCCUAUGAAAUUUUGACAGAAUAAUCCUCUCAUCAUGCUCUACAACUUUCCUAACUAGCACAAACACCAAUUCCAAGCCUAACUAGGCCAAUCGAACGAAAACAACACAAAAAGCUCUAGAGCUUCCACUCACCGGUUCUCCUUACCUGAAGCAAACUGGACCGAGUCCUUCUAGGGCAAGGCAACUGGGUUGGAGACCUUCAAAACCAUACCAAGCUUGCCCGGAUUGGUGGCCGGAGGAGGGAGUUCCGGCGAAGUGAAGCUUUGGACAGUCGAACCUUUCGGGUGGCACCGCUCUCUCACGGCGGAGCUAGGGCUCCUCUCACCGGUCCAGAGAGGUUGCUGGGUUGGAGGUCGACCGAACGGGACCGGUGCGGCGGCGGUUGGUGGCCGGACGGCGGCGGGAGGACGGCCGGAAAACCGGGCAGCGGGAGGAGCUCGGGGAGAGAGAAAACCGGGAAGAAAAAAAAGAGAAGGGAGAAAAUGGCUUUGGGCCUCGUCCCCCAAAACCGGUCCAACUUAAUACCCAUUUAAAACAAACCCAACUCCAAAAAUAAAACACCCCGAAAAAUAAUACCCGAAUAAAAAUUACCUUUUACUAGCUAAAAUUUACCAUUUUUACCGUCGUCAUAAUUUCCUCCUACGAAUAAUCCUCCGAGCAUAACCGUCCCCGAAACCCCUCUAGGGACCAAUUAAACUAUACUUCAAUGACAGAGACGGUAAAAUUCUUAUUAUAACCAAGCUAGUAAAUAAGGUAAAAAUUUACUGGUCGGGAUGUGACAUUUAUUCCACUGCUACCACUUCCACCAACUCCACCCAACUGCUAAAGAGUACCCAUGACAACACAUUAAAUUCACCAGGUGUUGUCGUAAAACCGGAGUGACCACAACCAUCCCACUCUCACUCCACCAUUACUUUUCAAUUCCAUUUACAUUAUCAUCUUCCCAAACACUCAACAAAUCUGGAAACCAAACUUCAACACCUGGAAUUCCGAAAGAAUCCAUACUGGCCCCACGAUUAAAAUAAUAUAACUGACAUCUCACUCCACGAUUCCAAACUUGCUUGAAACUCAACACUUAGUGCCAUCAAUAAAAUUUUAAAAUUCCCCGACUGUGGCACGACAAGAAGUUGUCACAACGCACUGACGAAUGACUUUGGAAAAACUAACAAUCCAAGUCAUUCUACUUAGUGCUUUAACUAACUUCAACUAACCCACCAUAGAGACCAAAAUCAUCAGAAAUCCUACUAUUCAUCGACUGCUAUUAACCUCUUUCUCCAAAAUGCUCUGAUUAUACUCUUUAAUAUGAUGAUUCCAAGGAGAAAAACAUAUCCUUAAUUAGAGCUGUAUGGCCAGAACAUGCGCAACCAUAACAAGCAUUAACCAUAAAAAUCCCAACUGACUUUCGUUGCGGACAAAGCAGUUGGAAAUUUGGUCAUCAGUCCAGACUUCUCUAAAUUGAUAGCCUUUUUAUUAGCCACAAAUCCCCCGUGACUAAUUAGCCCAAAAUUAGAAUCAUCCACAACUCGCAUAUGUACCUCUUUGAAUUACUCUGGGUAACUCACCACAUCACUUCAACUAACUUUAACAUCAAAAGAUAACACCACUACCACGAACUUUCUUUCCAACCAUUUUCUCCCGGAAGUCACAAAACUCGAAGCCAAUAUUUUCUAUUAAACUACAACAACUUCACACUCGCCCACUAAAAAUAGUGAACUCCAAGGCUUGAAUUAAACUUUUCACCUUCUACACAUUCGCAUGAGAUGCUCACCCUGGCAUCUUAAUCAUAACCCAAACAAUCAUUGAUCACAUGAAAUGAAUGCUGCCACGCAUGAGAUGCUCACCCUAGCAUCUCGCAAUUGAACUCUAACAAUUAUGAUAUCAACUCGAUAACCCUUGGAAAAGGCAUAAACCCAACACCCCAUUCCCUAAUCAAAGCAGGAUGAUCGCUUAAGAGGUCGGCGUACGGAGGCAUAGUCUUGAAGAUAUUAACAUUUAUGACACAAUACUGUCCAUAAAUAAGACAAGAAUAACUACAUCACAAACCUAAUCAACACAUAGUGUCUAAAGCAUAUAAUGCUAACAGAUCUACCGCGGUCGGACCAUCACUCUAUAGACACUAAGCAUGACCAAGAAUAUGAGGUAGUACUACAAAGAGAAAGGAAUCGAAUAACCUAGUGCUCUGAUACCAACUGUCAAGACCCACCCCGAAUUUCACCCUGAAACUCGAAGUAAAUCCUGCGGGGACCACCUCCAAGGAAAAUUUACCGAAAAUUCGGCAUAACCUCCCUUGAAAAUGGACAACCCUUCCUAAAAACAAACACCUGCAACACUUCUAAAAGUUCCAACUCCAACCUUAACUCCUGGAGCCUUCGUGCUCCCCACAAAUCACAACAUCUCCCAAUAUAGAUUCACUAAUCUAACAAAUGAUCCUAUAACCAUCAAAAACAUAUUCAGAGCAACUCUACUUGAGAGGAGAGGAACUAGAAAUAAAUAGAAAUGAGCGGAAGCUAUACUAUUGACUAUGUCUCUUCACCAGGUACGCUCGGCCUCACUAUGCUAACCUGUAACUAGGCAUUUAUAAAACGAAGAGCCCAGGGGAAAACAUUUGAAACAGUUAGAGUGAGUGGACAAAAACAUAAAUUUAAUGAAAUUAUUUAUGCUUUCCCAAUUUACAUUUCCAUAGAAAAUAUGCUGCAUGCGACAGCUCAAAAAUGCUCAACACAAAAACUGGCAAUUUCAUGACUAGCUCCGGCCAGUCUCCAAAGCUCAAUAAAAUACAGCCUCUCAGGCUAAAAUAAAAUAUGUAUGUAUUACACUCGUCAUAUCCCNNNN
rnacentral:lncRNA from 1 species